GGGAUUGGCCCGCCGUUCAGCGGGAGCGCGCGAUUGGCCGGUUCGAAGGGUUCGGCGGCAGCGGGAUGGCGGCGGCCGAGCUGUCGCGCGCCCUGGCGGGGUGGCGGUUGCGUGACGUCGGCGCAGUCUGGGUGAACGCGGUCUGGGAGCUGGAUUUCACCGAGGCCGAACCUCUGGAUUCCACGCUAGCAGAGGAGAUCACAGGAGAUGGACUUGAUGCUUUCACCGGGCUUUACCGGUCCCUGCUGCCCUUCGCUGCGGAGGACCGUGAGAACGGAGAGAACAUCUGGACCUUUUUUGCGGAAAACAACUUCUCGCCUAAUGCUCUUGUGGCUGUGUUGCACCACUUUGUCCAAGCGGGCCAGCGUAAAAGAGCUAAUGCACAGCAGAGGGUUUACGCUCUUCGUGCGGCUGGGUUGUACUUCUUGCUGCUGGAAAUCCCAGGCAGCAUAGCUAACCAGCUGUUCCAUCAAGUGAUGUUUGAUAAAUGUCUUCACACCCUGACAAAAAGUUGGCCUCCACAACCAGAUCUGAUGAGGAAAAGAAAGAAGAUGCAUGCUCAGAGCUCUCAGACUGAUGCAAGAAGAAAUAGAAAGAAAGGAAAACCAUGCAGGAAUGGCAACAUGGACGAGAUGUUGGAAGAGGAGGAGGAGGAAGAGGAUUGUGAAAAUGUUUACUUUACAACGGACGAUCUUCUUAAAGUUCGCAACUCAAUCUUCCUUCUUUUGAAAAACUUCUUAAGACUUCUACCUAAGUUCUCCCUAAAAGAAAAACCUCAGUGUGUGCAGAACUGCCUGCAGAUCUUUGUUGAAAUGACAAACUUUGAGGCAGCAGUACGUGAGUUUGAGUUUUCACCAGCAAUGAAUGUUAACGAAGCCAAGUACAUUCCUGAGCUGGCCUAUCGCGGACUGCGAUUACUGUGUUCCCCUCUGCAUGGUCCAGAAGAUAAGAUUCUUCGUUGUGUCUUCCAGCGAAUCCUCAAUGUCAUUCUGAUGCUGGAAAGUGGUGCGGGUUCCAGACGUGCAGUCCUUGCAAUCACAUCAGCUGUGAUCAGUGCCAGGAAUCAGGCUAUAAAAUUCAUCAGUUCUGUAGCAGAUGAGCUGAAAGAAGUUAUUUUUCCUGUUCUUCGAAUAUUACUGCAACAUAUCUGUACCAAGGUCCCAGAUAAGGCUGAUUAUCGUACAUAUGCUGCGCAGGCCUUGGUGAAUUUGCUGAAUAAACUCCCUUGUAUAGAGUUUGCUGACUUCAUGGCUUGGCUUUAUAAAUACUCACGCAACACUAAAGUUGUCUACAGAGUGUUUGCUCUUGAUGUAGCGUUAGCUUUGCUGGAUGUGCCCGAGAGGAACUUGGACAGCUCCUUGUCCCUGGAUCAUCAGAAGUUUCUAAAGCAUAAGUUUUUAGUACAGGUCAUGGUGUUUGGCCGCUGUUCGGACAAAGCACCCGUGGUCCGUAGCAAAGCUUUAAGCAGCUUUGCCCACUGUCUUGAAAUGAAAGCUGCUGCUACCUUGGAGAGUAUACAGGACUUAUUACAAAGCUCCUCUGACCAUACAGUCUUGGAAGCAAACACAAACACUGCGAGUUCGAUAGUCAGUGCAGAAGGUAUAGAGUCAUUCUCUUAUACUACAUCCAACCAUCCACUGAAGACCUUACCAACUUUCAAAACUAUUGAGUUAACAGAUAGCAGCGAUACUGCUGUACUUGAUGGAAAAGAAGUCAUGGCCAUGCUGAGACUGAGAGCCAAGGAUGAGAAAACCAAUGUGAGGAAAUCUGCUCUCCAGGUUUUUAUGAGCAUCCUGAAGCACAAAGUGAUCCCUUGUACUGCAGAAGAUUUGUCCACUCUUCAAGAUCGUUGCCGGGACCCAGCUGUUUCUGUGCGGAAGCAGGCCUUGCAGUCUAUAACAGAGCUCCUCGUGUCUCAGCACAAUAAUGUUCUAGUGCAAAAGGCCUGGUUAAAUGGAGUGGUGCCUGUUGUGAUGGACGCUGAAAGUUCUGUCCAAGAAAAGGCCUUGGAUUGCCUUGAUCAGCUUUUGUUGCAACAUAUAAAAAAUUACAAUAAAUUCAGGAGUGAAGAUGGAAAGCAGGCUCUAGCAUGGGAUCUCCUUACCCUCUUGACGUCAGAAAGCCAGGAGCUGAACCAUUACUUGAGCAAAGCUUUUCAAAUGUGGUCCAGACAGAAUAAGUUCACCUCUACUUUCAUUAAUAAUGUCAUGUCUCAUGUGGAAACGGAGCAUGCUGUACCAGCUUGGAUGUUGCUUGCCAAGGUGGUGGGUUCUUCACCCAAGCUGGAUUAUUCCAAGAUCAUUGAAUCCUGGGACAAUGUCAGCAGGCAGCGGAACAUGAGCACUGAUACUACAGGGCAUAUACUGUGUGUCAUGGGUCAUGUUGCAAAGCACCUCCCUAAAAGCACCUGUGAGAGGCUGAUUGAUAAUAUCAAGUGCUGGCUGAGGGAGUCUCACUGUCCCUUGGAGGUGAUUAGCCCAGCUGUAGAAACUCUGCAGAAGCUCUGCCAUGCGUCUGCACAUGUGCCAGAGGAGGCACAGGAGCUGCUCAACCAGGUGUAUGGAGAUUUAGUAUCCACCUGUGAAAGCUGUAUUUCGAAUAUAGUCCUCAAAGAGGAUGGAGCAGAGCAGCUGCAAGAAGAUCUCUUGGUGAGACACCUCUUCAUCUUGGGUGAGGCUGCACAGCUGUGUCCAGCCAAAGUGGAGAAACGCAUCUUUCUUUUGAUUCAGUCCAUUCUGGCUGCUUCUGUCAACGAGGACCAAUUGUCUAGUUCUCCAGAUGGUGAGGUGAUUCCAGCUUCUCAGCCACUGUCCCAGUUCAGAGGAUCAGCCAUGCCUCCAGUGGUCAGAGCUCAUGCAUUCAUUACUCUAGGUAAAUUGUGUUUACAGCAUGAGGAUCUGGCAAAGAAAUGCAUUGCAGCUCUAGCUCGAGAACUAGAGGUGUCACAUGAUGUGGCUGUUCGCAAUAACGUUGUCAUCGUUAUGUGUGAUUUAUGUAUCCGCUACACAUCCAUGGUGGAUAGAUACAUUCCCAACAUUUCAUUGUGUCUGAAGGAUCCAAAUCCCUUCAUCCGUAAGCAGACGCUGAUCCUGCUUACCAACCUUCUGCAGGAGGAAUUUGUGAAAUGGAAAGACUGUCUUUUCUUCCAUUUUGUCAGUGUCUUGGUGGAUCCAAAUCCAGAUAUUGCCAGGUUUGGAGAGUUCUGCCUGGUGCAUCUCUUACUGAAGAGGAAUCCAGUAAUGUUCUCCCAACACUUCAUUGAGUGCAUCUUCCAUUUCAAUAGCUAUGAGAAACAUGAGAAGUACAACAGGUUCCCCCGGAGCGUGCGGGCGAAGAAUCUCUUCUCUCUGAAGGGAAAAGAUAACAAAGAAAAAAGGAUGCGUAUCUACAAGUUCCUGCUAGACCACUUUACAGAUGAGCAGAGGUUCAGCAUCACAACAAAGAUCAGCCAGAGUAUCCUAGCAUGCUUUGUGGAUAACGUCCUUCCUUUGGACCUUGAGGCCAGUGAGCUGCUCUCGGAUACGUUUGCAGUCCUUAGCUGCAAAGAAAUCAAGCUAUCAACUAUGAGAUCAAAACCCGAUGAAGACAUUCAGGCUGAUGAAGAUGAAAUGGCAAUGGCCAAUGCUGUCAUGGAGGCAGCACAAAAAAAGCUCAUCUCGCAGGUUCAGAAGAAAAACUUUGUAGAAAACAUCAUCCCAGUGAUCACAUCACUGAAGUCUCUGAUGGAGCAGAAGAGGAUCCCAGCUCUUGGGGACCUUAUGAACUACCUACGGGAAAUGAUGCAAGAUUACCGAAAUGAAAUCAAAGACUUCUUUGCUGUGGACAAGCAGCUGGCAGCCGAGCUGGAGUACGAUAUGAAGAAAUAUGAAGAGCAGCUGGCCAAGGAGAAGAAGUCAGACCAAGAGCAGGUCUCGGCAGCACAGGCAGAGCAACCUCCAUCUUUGGAGAGAGCUGUACUUUCUGGUGGCUGGAGUAAUAAUGCUCAGUCUCCUGUAAGUGGGAGACAGUCCUUGCCACCUGGAUCAAGUCCUUCCUCUGUGCCUUCUGAGCGUACUACAUCUAUUACUGAUGUUCUGAAACAGCCGUUACUCAGUCACAGGCCAGCAUCCUUGAGCACACUUGCCAUCCUGAACUCUGCCAGGAAAGCAACGGAAGCCAAAAGCAAGCAACGCAGCAAGAGUGUUGGAGGAAGUUUAUCGGCUGUAUCGCUUCCAUCAAGCACAGCUGGCAGCAAGCGAGUAUCCUUUCAAAGCCUGAAUCAACAGUCUACCAGAGAAAAUGUUUCUGUGGUGGGCCGCGCAAUCAGCACACCAGAGCAGACCAUUAAUAACUUGACUUUUGGUGCUGAGGUCAGUUACAUCAGCUUGACGCAGACACCCAGUUCAGCUCCAGGCAAGUUAUCUUUGUGAUUCUAACUUGAGGGAGGGAAGAAACCCCAAAUGAUCAAAUCUGUGGCAUUUUUUUAAAUAUGAAAAUAUAUGCAUUAUUUGCAGGGAAGGGAAAGGCUGAGGACAAGCCAAGAGAUCUUAUCUGUUUGACGUCACCAGAGAAACUCCCAUCCCUGCCACAGGAAUGGAAAGUAGAAUCCCCAGCAAGGAAAAAAAGCAGCCAACGUGUCCCUCUGAGACGGUCCCAGCGGAGAACUCCACUGAAACCAGACAACUGAUCCUUUCGUUGAACUUUUGUACAGAAUCAUCAUGUUGCUUGAAAUCUGUCCUUUUCCUCUGUAAUUAUAAAUCAUCAAGGGCACAUGUCCUGCCUUCCUUAUCUAUUCUUAUUUGGUUUUUACAUGAAACUGUCUAGAAUAUGGGCAUACAAAGCCUGCAUUAACACACAUAUGUAUUAUAAGCUGCUGCUGUUGACAAAGAUCACUGGAGUGCUAGAAAGCUGCAGAAUAAGGGGAGGCUUGCUCUUCACUCACAGGAUGUAUAAUUUGUCCAUUUGGAAAAGUAAGAGCAUAAUGUUGCCACAAGCUUAGCAAUAAAUGCAUUUAUCACAGCUUGCAGGGAAGUGAAUGGCUCAGCUUAUUCACUCAGUCCCUCGUUGUCCCUCUUGGUUAUAUACUAGAGUUGCUUUAAUUUGAACAAAGGUAAAACAGCUUGUCACUGCCACACCCCUAAAUCUGGUAAUUGCACACUACAUCACCUCUUAUUUGUUGUGCAAACUCCUGUGUGUAUGAACAGCCUUAAUGUUCUUUUAUAUGGAAUAUUUCCAUUCUUGAACUAUGUUAUUUCCAACUAUUAACAUUUUAUGAAAAUAAAUGGUUACAGAAUUAAUUCCA